GACGAACGCUGGCGGCGUGCUUAACACAUGCAAGUCGAACGGUGAAGCUCAGCUUGCUGGGUGGAUCAGUGGCGAACGGGUGAGUAACACGUGAGUAACCUGCCUUUGACUCUGGGAUAAGCCUUGGAAACGGGGUCUAAUACUGGAUAUGAGACGCUCGGGCAUCCGAAGUGUCUGGAAAGAUUUAUCGGUCAGAGAUGGACUCGCGGCCUAUCAGCUUGUUGGUGGGGUAGUGGCCUACCAAGGCGACGACGGGUAGCCGGCCUGAGAGGGCGACCGGCCACACUGGGACUGAGACACGGCCCAGACUCCUACGGGAGGCAGCAGUGGGGAAUAUUGCACAAUGGGCGCAAGCCUGAUGCAGCGACGCCGCGUGAGGGAUGACGGCCUUCGGGUUGUAAACCUCUUUCAGCAGGGAAGAAGCGCAAGUGACGGUACCUGCAGAAGAAGCGCCGGCUAACUACGUGCCAGCAGCCGCCGUAACAC
rnacentral:rRNA from 1 species